rnacentral:rRNA from 1 species
GUGGGGAAUUUUGGACAAUGGGCGCAAGCCUGAUCCAGCAAUGCCGCGUGUGUGAAGAAGGCCUUCGGGUUGUAAAGCACUUUUGUCCGGAAAGAAAUCUCCUGGGUUAAUACCUCGGGGGGAUGACGGUACCGGAAGAAUAAGCACCGGCUAACUACGUGCCAGCAGCCGCGGUAAUACGUAGGGUGCGAGCGUUAAUCGGAAUUACUGGGCGUAAAGCGUGCGCAGGCGGCUAUGCAAGACAGAUGUGAAAUCCCCGGGCUCAACCUGGGAACUGAAUUUGGGACUGCAUGGCUAGAGUGCGUCAGAGGGAGGUGGAAUUCCGCGUGUAGCAGUGAAAUGCGUAGAGAUGCGGAGGAACACCGAUGGCGAAGGCAGCCUCCUGGGAUGACACUGACGCUCAUGCACGAAAGCGUGGGGAGCAAACAGGAUUAGAAACCCCAGUAGUCC